CAGUAGCCACGGGAAUACAGAGGGUGCAAGCGUUGUUCGGAAUUAUUGGGCGUAAAGCGCGCGUAGGCGGCGUGACAAGUCGGGUGUGAAAGCCCUCAGCUCAACUGAGGAAGUGCGCCCGAAACUGUCGUGCUUGAGUGCCGGAGAGGGUGGCGGAAUUCCCCAAGUAGAGGUGAAAUUCGUAGAUAUGGGGAGGAACACCGGUGGCGAAAGCGGCUCACUGGACAAAGACUGACGCUCAGGUGCGAAAGCGUGGGGAGCAAACAGGAUUAGAUACCCCCGUAGUCCUGUCUCUUAUACA
rnacentral:rRNA from 1 species